rnacentral:lncRNA from 1 species
UCUGCGUGGCCUCUACCGUGAUAUAUAUAUCUGUCUCUCUGCCACAAUGCUAGCUGUCUUCUGCCGCCUAGCUCCGUAUGUACGGAUGUGUCAGGCGCCUGCUCCAUGCGUAACGGCCAUUAAUUCUCCUCUGAUACGCAUGUGGAAGGACCUACCAGCCUGGCAUCUUGGUCAUUAUCCCCUUUCCGGGCUGGGUUGAAUGGUAGGGCUGAAGUUGAGCCUGGUGAGGGCCUGAUUACUGGGCCGAGAGGUUUGGGCCGGCUUGAUUGAGGAGUCUAGGCGGAGUCCGGCCCUGUGACUGAGCGGGCUGGACCUGGCUCUCGAGGGGAAUAUUGAAGCCUUCGGAUCAUGGACUGUUUUCAUGGGCCUGGCCUUUAGACCGGGGUGAAGAAAUCCAGCGAUCAUCA